CAUUACACUUCCUAGUGCAAAUUCAACACAAGUUCAAGAUCAAAGUUCUUUGACUAAACUACCACAAAACUGCAAAUUUGUGGACAUUGAACUUCUCUACAUUUGUGUUGAUAAUACCAAUCCUCAUUUUUCCUUUAGCACCUUGUCAUGGAUCUACAAUCAUAACCACUGCCUAAGAUUCAAAGCCCUGCAUGACACAAUGCAUAUGUAUGAGCAAGUUAUUUGUAACUACUAAAAAGAACAAAAAUAAUAGUAGUGAAUGUUGAAUUUAAUUUUAACUAGAAGGCCAUAUUUUUUUAAUCAGCAAUUUUAUUUAAUACUCCCUAUCAAAGAUAGCAGCUAUAAAAAAAAAAAAAAAAAAGUGUCAUGAACCCACUAUAAAGCUGAUGCCAUAUUCUAUGACAUAUCCCACAAGGUCAUGUGCAACAAGAAGAGAAUCAAUUUGAUUAUACCAAGCUGGAUAAUUGGAAGAGUUAAGUUUGAUGGGAAGGUGAGUGGAGGUAUUGAAUUCCAAUAAUUCAUUUGGUUCUUUGGUAACAGUGGCCGUGUAACGCCCUAUUUUAUUAUUUAUUUAUUUUAUUGAGUUUAGAUGUCUUUUUAUAAUUUAGUCGAUUUUUUUUUAUAAGUGAUAUUUUGUUAUGAUAUAUGUUGGUAUUUAUUAGUAUAAUAUAUAUGUUAUUUGAUGUAGAAAUAAAUAUAUUUGUUAUUUGGUGUAGAAAUAUAUAUGUUAUCUGGUGUAAAAAUAUAUUUGUUAUUUGUUAUAGAAAUAUUAUAUAUAUAUAUAUAUAUAUAUAUAUAUAUAUAUAUAUAUAUAUAUAUAUAUAUAUAUAUAUAUAUAUAUAUUAAAAUAUAAUAUUGAGACUUUGAUGACAGAUUUGAAAAUAAGAGAAAAUAAGUAGGUUAAGGAUUUAUAUAAAAAUGGGAGAGUUAAAAUUAGAAAAUAGGGAUUACGUGAAACCUAUUUUUGGAGAAAAAGGGAGAACACCAAGAGAAGAGAAAAGUCAGAGGAGAGAAAGCGGUCGAUCAAUCUAAGGUAAGGGUAGGACUAGCUUUCUCUAAUAAUGAGUUGUAUAAUUCUGAAAAAGGGUUUAACAUUGUAGUUGUUAUUAGUUUUAAUGUUAUAGAAAUUAGGAUUAGAUUUCAUUCAUUCAUAAUCUUUUGUAUAAUCUAUUUUUCUACUUCUACCCAUAAGUGCCUAUUUGUAUAAAGUGAUUAUUGUGGAUUUAAUUAGUGAAAUUUGUGCUUAUGUUUUGAUGCAAUGUUUGAGGUAUGUGAAUUUGAUGUUAAUUAAGCUGUUGAUGAUGAAUUUAUAUGCUCAAGUUAUGUAUAUAUGUAUACUUGUGUUUUUGCUCAAAAUUGGUGAAGUAUGAUGUUGUUUUUUAUGAUUUUUUAAAAUAAUGUUUUGGGUCAAGUUUUUGGUGAAGUAUAAUCUCUUUAGACAAACUUUGGGAUCAAAUUUAGGCAUAGGGAAGUUAAAAUUGGAAUUUUGGGGUGAAAAAUGGGUUUUUCCCGAGUUGCUCUCUGACAGUAGACCCUGUUUCAUGUUCUUGCGUCUUUUUCACAUGUUUCUGUUUUGAAUUGGCCUUUGGUGUAAACGUGAUAAUUGUAUUAGCUUUCCAGUGGUUUUGGUUUGACGUGAAAAUGAUUUUUGGUUUUUGAGUUAUGAUGAAAAUACUCCAAUGAGGUCUUAGUAAAAUUUUACGAAAAUUCCGCAUAACUAUUUCUAAGUCAACCCAAAAUUUAUGGAUUGUCUCCAAACUUCAAAGCUUUUGUACUAUGAGUUCAAUUAAGAUGUUUAAGAGUAUUUAACCUAUGUUGUGAUGAAUCUAUCUUGGUUUGACAUAAAUAUCUUUGAUUGAUGAAUUAUUAUAUGAAUGUAUAUGUUGAUGAGUAUGAUGUUAUAUGAUGUUGUUCAUGAUUGAUGAAUUAUUAUAUUAAUGUAUAUGUUGAUGAACAUGAUAUUAUAUGAUGUUGUUCAUAAUUAAUGAAUUACUAUAUGAAUGUAUAUGUUGAUAAAUAUGAUGAUGUUGUUAAUGAAUUAUUCUAUGAAUAUAUAUGUUGAUAAAUAUGAUGUUAUAUGAUGUUGUUAAUGCUUGACGAAUUAUUAUAUGAAUGUAGAUGUUGAUGAAUAUGAUGUUCUUCAUAAUUAAUGAAUUGUUAUAUGAAUGUAUAUGUUGAUAAAUAUGAUGUUAUGUGAUGUUGUUCAUAAUUAAUGAAUUACUAUAUGAAUGUAUAAAUUGAUGAAUUAUGAUAUUAUGAUGCAAAUUUGUUGUUCAUAUCAUUCAAGUUUGUUGUGAUUAAUGUUGCUAUGUUGCAAGUUGUUGUCAAAUGUCGCCAAGUUGUAAGUUGUUGUAUUAAGUUGUUGAAUUCGUCUAAGUUGUCGAAGCUGUCUAAGUUGUUUAAGUUGUUGGUUGUUGAGUCCAUGAAUACUCAUUAAAAGUUGAGAGCUUGAUGCUCUGAAAUGUAUAAUUAUACAUAUUAAGUUGAGGGUUUGAUGAUCUAUGACCCUAUUUAUGCUCUAUACAUUGAGGGCUUGAUGCUCUGUAAGUUGAGGGUUUGAUGCACUGUGAGCCUAUUUAUGCUCUAUACGUUGGGGACUUGAUGCCCUGAUUUGUACCACAUGCAUGAUUAAGAAGUUGUAGUUGCAUUGUCAAGAUGAUUAAGAUGUCUAAGUCGCAUGGUCGAGUUGAUGUCGAUGUCGUUGCAUUGUCGUUGUUGUCAAGUUUUCGAUUACUAAUGAGUUGUUAAUGAGAAACUAUGUGAAUUAUCAAUAUUAUUUAUUGUUGUUGUUUAUGUUGUUUACGUGAAUCAUUGUUGAUGAUGAUUUGAAGUUGAUUGAUGAUUUAUAGUUUGAAUUAUGUGAGGCAUUAACAUUGUUUAAUUGUUGUUGUUUAUGUAGAUAAAUUUUCUCACUUAGAUUUGUUUAUUAGUUUUACUAAUGAUGAAUAAAUGUUGUUAUGUGUUGUUAAAUUUUUCAAAGAAUUAUAUGCUUAAUAUUAUUGAAUGUGAAAUCUCACCCCUUCUGCUUAGAAACUGUUGCCUUUGCAUGGGUAACUUGCAGGUAACCAGGAUUAGCUGUUGAUGUGAGUUGACUCUCUCACGCGUCGUCUUAGGGUCGCUCUGAUACGUAACGGGAUGGGGAUAUUUGUAUUUUUUUCCAUUUGUUACGUAUUAUUAUGAAUUAUGUUGAUGAACCAAUUGAAUGAAAUUUUAAUAAGUUGUUUAUGUUGAGGCCGUUGUGCCAUUACGUUGAAUAAGAAAUGUUUUCCGCUGCGAUGUAAUUUAAAUUAUUGAUAAAAGAUAUUUUGAAUAAAUAGUAAUUUUACUCUAUUUAUAUUUUAAAGUUGUGUGACAUCCUAUUUAGUUGAUUACUCUGAUGUUUAUGCAAAAAUUUUAAAGUUGGAAAAACAGGGUGUUACAGGCUGCACGAAGCAAAAGCACACCCGCUGAACCUAACCAACAGACCCCAAAAAACCACCCUCAAGUGAGCAGCAAAACGCAGCUGCUUAUGGAACAAUGCACAACAGAGAAAUCUACUUAUGUUACAACAAAACAGGAAAAUAAUUUCUACACCAAAAUAGCAGCAGCUCCGCACUCCUGUCAUAACCGUCCGAACAGUAGCCACCAAAGGCCGCUAUAAACAACGUCAAUCUAUUACCUCAUCAAAUAAUCUCGUGGACACCAACACCACUCGUAGAAAAUACAAGCUGGAUUGUUGAAUCUACCUAACAACCACCUUCAAGACAUUACUUUUAGUCAAAGAACUUUGAUUUUGACUUGAUAGUUAAGGUAAUGCACAAUCUAUACCAUAUAGCAGCUUUGUUGUAUAGACAAUUUAGUCAAAUACUAUGAAUUCUAAGGUAAUUCACUGUCUAUACCAUAUACCAUCAGUUAAAAAAACAGACUGCAUCAUCCAAGUUUGGCAGCAACAAAAAACUCCAGCAUAAAAACAGAAAAAUAAAACACAAUGCUACAGGUCCGUCGUAGCAUCAUAAACACAGUGAUAAAGAUCAAUUAUUUGCAAUUCAAAUAGUAAUAUAAUGAAAUGAGCAUUGGUUGCCAAUUUUUUUUGGAUCAAUACUGGUUGCCAAUUGAUCAUAUAUUCCACCUUAAUAGUAAGUUCAAUAAGCAAGUAAAUGGUUUUCUUCAAUUAACAUAGAUAGCAUAUCAUAUUUAUCAUAGUAGAUGUAUCCUUUGGAGUGCAUACAACCUUGCACCAAAGUGUGUAGAAGGUACAUCCCUACUAGAAUGUUGGACAAGAAAUUCAUCUUCUAAUGAGAUGAUGGCUCGUAAAACAUUGUGAAAGUGACGGCUGACAGUUUCACCGGAACGGUGGAAAAAGAAUGACACAAUACGAUUUUUCACAUUAUGACCAAUGAUGUGUAGAAAUUUAGCAGCUUGCUCUUUAACUGUGAAUCGUAUUGUAUCCUUCACAAUACCAGUUCCUCUCAAUUUAUGACACAACAACAUGAAUGCCUCAGGUCCCAUUCGUAUUAUGUCGCUGCAUUUUUCAGUUUCUACUAGUUGUCUCAUUAAAUCAAUAUGCCUACGCUCUCUCUCAUGACUUCCAUGACUAAUAGGAUUACGCCAACGUGACAUUAUGUUAAGCAUGUGUAAGGUAUGAACAAUAUAACACAAUAUAGGACCACAAAAUAAAGAUGUUGUUGCCUUUCGAAUCGAUGUCGAAAUUGACAUAAAUUUAACAUGCCAAGAUUAGUCGAAGGUUUUAUUUUAGAAUGUACUUCUUUUAUACCAUGAGAUUCAUCACCAGACUUAUCUUCCUCAUUAAUAAAAGAAUCCAUGUCACAAAGUGGAAUGUUAACCUUCAAUCAGAGUAUAAAAUCAAUUGAUGAAACAAAUAAUUUGACAUUAGAAAAUCCCUAAAUAAUUCCCUCACAAAUCAAAAGAUUUGGAGAGUUUAGAAUUUAAUUUGUAAUAUUUUGUAACAAACAAUCAUAAGUAGUGCAAUUAAGAGUUGAUAUAUUUAAAGGGGAAAAAACACACAUAUUUAACUUUUAAAUGAUUUUUAUGUAGAAAUAAUUUUUUUAACACUUGAUUUACGAGUUAAAGACUCUUGAUGCUAUACACAAGUUUUCCAUAAUGCAUAUUUAUCUCCCCUGCAAUCUCUAUUAAAACAAGAAUCUAGAGUUCAUUUUGUUUUUAGAUAAACAAAUCACUUUAUUAAGAAAAAUCAUCCAGCUUAGCAUAAACAGAUAGCAUCAUCACACACAUACCAAACAAUUGAAAGAAAAAACACUCAUAACCUAAGAACACACAAAAUCACUACCUAAAGACAAUAACACAUGACAGAUGACAAAAUAUCAACUCCAACUAUGUUGCAGCCAACAAACUGCAUAGCGUUCUGGUGUCUGCAGUGGCAGCCCUGCUGCUGUUAUAUGUUUUGCAGUUGUUUGCUAUCAUAUAUGUUUUAGGUGUGAUUGAGGCAGCUGGCUUUUUUAUGGUGUGUUUUUAAUUGUUUGGUUAGGUGCAGCUGCGUUGGUUUUGUAUGUUUAGCUGUGUAGUGUGGUCACUAGAUUGCAAUUGUGGUCUCUAUCCCUGAACUCUCAUACGAUGGGGUUUGUUUUGUUUCUUUUCAGCUACUUUCUUCUCUUAUUGAGAGUUUGGAAGCUUAAAUAAUAUUGGCUUUUCAAAAAAAAAAAGUAGGAUCAAACUUUCUUCAUUUCGUAAAUGAAAUCCUUAACACCCAUCACUCAGAUUCAUUUGAGUCUUUUAAGCCAAUUGAUGUCCCAAACAUCAGCCUCAUCUCUAACAAUGAAAUCCUUAACACACAACCUAUAUCUGCAGCUCCCGGCUUCCCUUUCAACGAUCCAUCCACAUUCCAUUACCAAACAUUUUGUGGAGGGGGACACCAUAUUGCUGACAAUCUAUUUCCAUGUUUUAAUCUCUUGAAUUUUAUACAAAUGGACCACGUGAUACACAUAUUCUAUGAAAGGUUUGAGACUUGAGAGACCACCUACCUAAUCCCCAACACGACAUCACAUUGGUAUCAGGCUGCCAUGACAACUUCUGAUAACACACUAGAACACUACCUAUAACAAAUCUUAGGCCUAAAAACAUUCAUAACCCCAUUCUAAGUUUGAUUAAAAAAACUCCAAAACAACAACAAUGUCUUGUUUUAUGUUGCCUUCCCAACAUCCAUAAUUUACCCAAACUGAAACCAACAUGACUUAAUAUACCCAAAUUGAAGGGGAAAAAAGUAAAAAAAAAUAGUCACCUAAAUCAGAUUUUCUAUGAAACCUAGAACACAAAUUAUUUUUUCUCACUUCAUCCGAAAAGCAUUUCAAAGUAUAAUAAAAUGAGGGGAGAAAACAUACAAGGAAUAAAAUUUCAUCAAAACAAAAUAAAUCUCAUGCAUAGAAGAUAAUGAAAAAAAAAACAUACUUAAUUCAAAAUCAAAAUUUUCAAUAAAUAAAGGAAUACCUAAAUGGAAGGGGAAAAAACACAUGAAAAAGAAGAGAGUUAGAAAAGUACCUUACAAAACAAUGAGGUCAAGAUUGAUAGCAAAGAAAAAUGGAGGCAGUGCAACAAUUUGGAUUAAGCAGAUGGCAGAGAAGAAACCAUUGAAAGAGAAAAUAGUGAACCCUCU
rnacentral:lncRNA from 1 species